GACGGAGGAUGCAAGUGUUAUCCGGAAUCACUGGGCGUAAAGGGUGCGUAGGCGGCUUGGUGGGUCUGGUGUGAAAGCCCCGGGCUCAGCCCGGGAAGGGCGCUAGAAACUGCCGAGCUCGAGUGCCGGAGGGGAGAGUGGAAUUCCUGGUGUAGCGGUGAAAUGCGUAGAUAUCAGGAGGAAUACCGGUGGCGAAAGCGACUCUCUGGACGGCAACUGACGCUGAGGCACGAAAGCGUGGGGAGCAAACAGG
rnacentral:rRNA from 1 species